rnacentral:rRNA from 1 species
AGCCGCGGUAAGACGUAGGACGCGAGCGUUAUCCGGAUUUACUGGGCGUAAAGCGUGUGUAGGCGGCGUGACAAGUUGGGCGUGAAAGCCCCGUGCUCAACGCGGGGAGGCCGCACAAUACUGUCAGGCUAGAGGGCAUCAGAGGGGUGUGGAAUUCCCGGAGUAGCGGUAAAAUGCGCAGAUAUCGGGAGGAACACCGGUGGCGAAAGCGGCACCCUGGGGUGCACCUGACGCUGAGAGACGACAGCUAGGGGAGCGAACAGGAUUAGAGACCCUGGUAGUCCUAGCCGUAAACGAUGGAUGCUAGGUGUGGGAGUGAAGAACUUCUGUGCCGCAGCGAACGCGAUAAGCAUCCCGCCUGGGGAGUACGGCCGCAAGGUUAAAACUCAAACGAAUUGACGGGGACCCGCACAAGCAGCGGAGCGUGUGGUUUAAUUCGAUGCUACACGAAGAACCUUACCUGGGAUUGACAUAUGGGUGGUAGUGAGCCGAAAGGCAAGCGACCCUUCGGGGAGCCUAUACAGGUGCUGCAUGGCUGUCGUCAGCUCGUGCCGUGAGGUGUCGGGUUAAGUCCCGUAACGAGCGCAACCCCUGUCCUUAGUUACAAGUGUCUAAGGGGACUGCCGGCGGGAAGCCGGAGGAAGGUGGGGAUGACGUCAAGUCAGCAUGGCCCUUAUAUCCAGGGCGACACACACGCUACAAUGGUCGGUACAGAGGGCAGCGAAGCCGCGAGGUGGAGCGAAACCCAGAAAGCCGGUCGUAGUUCAGAUUGCAGGCUGCAACUCGCCUGCAUGAAGUU